rnacentral:lncRNA from 1 species
AGAAGAAUUAAACAACAACAACAACAAAACUUGUGCAGGAUUACAAUCCUGGAAUUUGAACACAAGUGGUAUGGUUCCAGUGUCUCUACUAUCAACCACUGUUCUAGAAUGCUGCUAAGUAAGAUGAUUGGAGCAGCCAUAUUUAAUUUUCAGACACCUUGGAUGAGCACAGGGGAAAAAAAACGACUGAAAUAACGAACACAAAGUUCAACAAAAAAGGUAUCUUUAGAAUAUCAUUUAAUGUCAUUGAUAUAUUUGUGAUCAAUAAGUGGAAGCAUGACCAGCAGCAAAAAAACAGAAUAGAAAAAUAGCCAUCCAAUGACCUGGAUUCAUAGUACUGUGUUAGAGGCUGUGCACAGGUAUGUUAAAAAAUAAUGUGACCUCUGAUUAUUUUUCUGUUAUGUCAGUCUCAUUCUAGUAAGAAACUGAAGAUCCAAUUUAUCCUAAGCAAAUUUAGUACUUUCAGUUUACAGAAUUGUUACUAUCAUUGCAUUAAAUAAGUCCUUACCAUAACACUACUUUAUUUCAAGACUUACUAUAAUAAAUAAUAAUUAUUAUAGUUUAUAUGUACA